UACGGAGGGUGCGAGCGUUAUCCGGAAUCACUGGGUUUAAAGGGUGCGUAGGCGGCUCGGUAAGUCAGUUGUGAAAGCCCCUUGCUUAACGAGGGAGGUGCGAUUGAUACUGUCGAGCUUGAAUCGGGAUGAGGCAGGCGGAAUGUGGCAUGUAGCGGUGAAAUGCAUAGAUAUGCCAUAGAACACCGAUUGCGAAGGAAGCCUGCUGGGCCUGUAUUUACGAUGAGGCAUGAAAGCGUGGGGCGCAAACAGG
rnacentral:rRNA from 1 species